CCCGCCGGACCUGACUGCUAUCGGAUUGAUACUAAGCCAUGCGAGUCAUUGUAGCAAUACAAGGCAGACGGCUCAGUAACGCGUAGUCAACCUAACCUAUGGACGGGAAUAACCUCGGGAAACUGAGAAUAAUGCCCGAUAGAACACUAUGCCUGGAAUGGUUUGUGUUCCAAAUGAUUUAUCGCCGUAGGAUGGGACUGCGGCUUAUCAGUUUGUUGGUGAGGUAAUGGCCCACCAAGACUAUUACAGGUACGGGCUCUGAGAGGAGUGGCCCGGAGAUGGGUACUGAGACACGGACCCAGGCCCUAUGGGGCGCAGCAGGCGAGAAAACUUUGCAAUGUGCGAAAGCACGACAAGGUUAAUCCGAGUGGUUUCUGCUAAAGGAACCUUUUGUCGGUCCUAGAAACACCGAUGAAUAAGGGGUGGGCAAGUUCUGGUGUCAGCCGCCGCGGUAAAACCAGCACCUCAAGUGGUCAGGAUGAUUAUUGGGCCUAAAGCAUCCGUAGCCUGCUUUGUUAGUUUUCGGUUAAAUCUGUACGCUCAACGUACAGGCUGCCGGGAAUACUGCAAAGCUAGGGAGUGGGAGAGGUAGACGGUACUCGGUAGGAAGGGGUAAAAUCCUUUGAUCUAUUGAUGACCACCUGUGGCGAAGGCGGUCUACCAGAACACGUCCGACGGUGAGGGAUGAAAGCUGGGGGAACAAACCGGAUUAGAUACCCGGGUAGUCCCAGCUGUAAACCAUGCAAACUCAGUGAUGCAUUGGCUUGUGGCCAAUGCAGUGCUGCAGGGAAGCCGUUAAGUUUGCCGCCUGGGAAGUACGUACGCAAGUAUGAAACUUAAAGGAAUUGGCGGGGGAGCACCACAA
rnacentral:rRNA from 1 species